AAUACGGGGAUGCAAACGUUUUUCUACUAGUGAUGCCAAGUCAAACAUGAAUUUAUAUUUAGUGUACUUAUGUUUGUCAAACAUGAAUUUAUAAUUCGUUUUGAACAUGAUGAACAAUUUGAGGUGUAUGCUCUUGCAAAAUGACUUAUUGUUAGACAAUGUAUGUCAAAUUAAGUUUCCAAGAAUAUUUUACAUUUUACCAAAUUAAUCAUGUCAAGUAAAUUAUAUGUUGACAAAUUAUAAAGUACAAAGCUUAAAUAAAUAGAUGACUUAGCUUUUUAGUCGGUUGAAUUCAAGCAAAUAACAUCGCAUUUUUGUAGCAUCCACUUCGGUAGAUGUAUAGAUGGAUAAUGCGUGAGCUUGCACCAAAUAUUGACCGAAUUAAUUGUCGGCAAAUGCAAUUUGGUUUGGCUUGCUGCUUGCAUUUAUUUGGACACUUUUGCCUUUGCUUUAAUUUAUUUUUGACCAAUCAUGUCACCAAAUUACCCACCACCUUUAUUUACUUUAUGGAAUAUGUAUCUCCAUUUUGUGAGUUGUCACAAAACAUUACCAGGCAACAACACUCAUCACUUCCAUUUUCACCUGAACUUUAGGAAAAUAACCACUACUCCUCACUAUUCCAGGCAUAUUUCAGAGAUUAACAUCGGCUAGUUAACCUCGGCGACUGAACCUCGGCGGUCGACUUCAGCGGGUUGGCCUUGGCGGUGAUAACCAACGAGUUAAACUUAGCUCGUAGCUUCGGGAGCGAUUUGAUCAAUUUCGGCACUGCCUUCAGCAAGUGAACUUCGGAACUGAGCUUUGGUACCGAGCUUGGGAGCUGCUGACCUCGACACUGACUUUGGUACUGCUGGUCGGCAUUGCUCGGGAGCUUCGCUGCUAUGCUCAGGAGGUUGCACGUCGCUGACCUCGGCACUGGGCACAGGGAGCUUUAGGAGACUAGGAUCUUAAACUGGCAUAGGAAGCUUAGCUUCGGCGGUGCUGGCCUCGGAAGCUUAGCUUCGGCGGUACUGGCCUUGGGAGCUAAGCCUUGCUCUGCCUCUUCUGAUCAUUAUAUUGCCUCGGGCCUUCCUCAAUUACUUAAGCUCAGUGAGACACAAGAUGGAUAUUGACGUUACUUCCACAGGUUUUGCCGAUGAAGAUGGCUUCUCACCUCGGAAGGCCGCCUCCACUUCGAUAGAUGAGCUUUAGAGCUUUGCUUUGGCCACUUACUCCUUUGACUUAUGUGCCAAAGAUACUCGUCAAGUUUUGACCGGUCGAGCACUCAAGCUUCCUUUAGGCAUUCAACAGAACAUCUUGGCUUGCAACAGUGUGCUUCGAUUUCGCUCGAUUAUGACCUCUGCUCAGCCCUAGUUGGGUCCUGUGGUCAGCUCAGCUCGGUGGUUGAUCUCGGGGUGCCGAAAUUCGGAAUUUUCAGCAAUUUAUUAUGCUUUGCCGAUGCUGGAUUGUCAACAUUAAUUAUAAGUCAAGGUUGGGAUGUUGGGUUCGGCAUUGAGCUCGGCUCAGGAGCUAAGAUGCUCUGUACUGCUCUUCGGCAUUGAACUCGGCACUUGAGCUUCGAUGCUAUUCCUUUUCUUGCUUUUGCUUUCCCAAUUUACCUUGGCACUGACUUGCUUUUGCUUUUGCUAUGCUGAGUUUCGGCUAGGAGCUUCGGGAAGCUGCAUACUCGGCACCAGGCUUUGAUUUUUUGCCAAGAAUUUGGAAAUUUCUACAUUGAGCUUUGACCUCCGAGCUUGGUGCUAUGGCCAGCUUCGGCCUCAGAACUUGGCAGCAAGCUUGAAUGUUUGAGCACCACCUGGUAAGUUGUAGGGCUCCAACUUGGAGAGUUUUGGAUCCUUUGAAACAUUACCCAUGCUGGACACGGCACUGCUCGGGAGCUUCGGCACUGAGCUCGACUUCAGCGUGACCUCAUUAUGAGCUUUCAUUAGCAUUCGAUCAUCAACAUUCUAUUCGGAUGAUGAACAAGAUUCAAGGUGACUUCAGAUGGCUCAUCCUCUCCGAGUUUUAUUAUCUGAGAUGUUCCAUGACAACAAAGAACUUGACAUUAGUCGUAGGUCGAUAUACAAAUUUGGUAGUGUAAUCGAGAGGUGUGUAUAUACCAGUUGUACGAAUUGAUGUACAUGAAUACUCAGGAAAUAUGAAACUUGACUCCACAUUUUAACAAGAAA